UUGGUGAAAAUUUCAUUUUCCUGGCACUUGUUUUCAUCAGGCGGCGCUCAAAAAAAUUCAUUUCUCCUCCCAAACUUCGUACGAUUCAAUCAACCAAAACACCCCUCUCUCUCUCUUGAAUCCAUACGAAACCCUAACCCUCUCUAAGUCCAAGCACGAAUUUUGCUGGAGCUUCGUCUUUCGCGAGUUUCACCUUCAGAGGAAAAUUGCCCAGACCUUAUAUGCAUCAGAUCUGUUUCAUAAGUCCGUCUGAUUUGGGGAAUGAAGUUUGGAGAAAAUACAAUUAAAGUCAUUAUCAGGAAUAAAGUCUAUGCAUUCUUGAAUAUGAUAGGACCACAACACUGUUGUUCAACUUAUGGCAAGGUGAAGGAUCGAAGUUGGAUUCAGAUUAAAGAAUGGAAUGGCCUUGCUGGCCUGUGCUGAGGAUCCUAUUAUUAAAUUUGAAACUGCCGAGCUGGUAGCAUUGAGAUGUCAGAGGCAUAAAAAAUCUUGCGUUCCUCUCAAGUCCUGUACUUCACCCCUAUGUUACCCGGACUCGGGUACGGGUGUCGGACACGGGUACGUGUCUAAGGGUCGGAUUCGUCAAUCUAUCAAUUUUCAGGAUACGGGGACACGGAUUAAAAGUGUCCAAAUAUUGGACACGGGUACUUGGACACUUUGAAAAAAGAGAAAAAUUUGCAAGUUUUUUUUUUAUGUUUGAGACAUUAAUCAUAAAACUAAAAAAUAUAUAUAUCAAUUGUACUUUUUUAUAAAAAUUUUAUAAUUAUUACUGCAUUUGUUUGCCUCA